CCUACGGGAGGCAGCAGUGAGGAAUAUUGGUCAAUGGACGAGAGUCUGAACCAGCCAAGUAGCGUGAAGGAUGACUGCCCUAUGGGUUGUAAACUUCUUUUAUAUGGGAAUAAAACGUUCCACGUGUGGGAUUUUGUAUGUACCAUAUGAAUAAGGAUCGGCUAACUCCGUGCCAGCAGCUGCGGUAAUACGGAGGAUCCGAGCGUUAUCCGGAUUUAUUGGGUUUAAAGGGCGCGUAGGUGGAUUGUUAAGUCAGUUGUGAAAGUUUGCGGCUCAACCGUAAAAUUGCAGUUGAAACUGGCAGUCUUGAGUACAGUAGAGGGGGGCGGAAUUCGUGGUGUAGCGGUGAAAUGCUUAGAUAUCACGAAGAACUCCGAUUGCGAAGGCAGUUCACUGGACUGCAACUGACACUGAGGCUCGAAAGUGUGGGUAUCAAACAGGAUUAGAUACCCGAGUAGUC
rnacentral:rRNA from 1 species